AUGAGGUGCUGGUCAGGGAUACGGACACGGCUGUUGUGGUGUAGGAACCGGAAGCAAAGGGUGAGGUGUCACGGUCUCGUGAGGCAGCUGGUGUGCAGACCACAGAAUUACAUAACGCGGGCUACUUUUGUUGCUGGUGGUACGGGGGCAGGCAGUGGUGGUGGCUGCUGCUUAGAUGUCUUUGCUGGUUCAGAGAGAUAG
rnacentral:rRNA from 1 species